rnacentral:rRNA from 2 species
UUGACCUCGGAUCAGGUAGGGAUACCCGCUGAACUUAAGCAUAUCAAUAAGCGGAGGAAAAGAAACCAACUGGGAUUGCCUUAGUAACGGCGAGUGAAGCGGCAAUAGCUCAAAUUUGAAAGCUGGCGCCUUCGGCGUCCGCGUUGUAAUUUGUAGAGGAUGCUUCGGCGAGGACUCCUGCCUAAGUUCCCUGGAAUGGGACGUCACAGAGGGUGAGAAUCCCGUAUGUGGCGGGCGGUCCAAGCCAUGUGAAGCUCCUUCGACGAGUCGAGUUGUUUGGGAAUGCAGCUCUAAAUGGGAGGUAAAUUUCUUCUAAAGCUAAAUACCGGCCAGAGACCGAUAGCGCACAAGUAGAGUGAUCGAAAGAUGAAAAGCACUUUGGAAAGAGAGUUAAAAAGUACGUGAAAUUGUUGAAAGGGAAGCGCUUGCAACCAGACUCGCUCGCAGUUGCUCAGCCCGCCUCUUGGUGGGUGUACUCUUCUGCGAUCGGGCCAGCAUCAGUUCGGGCGGCUGGAUAAAGGUGUCGGGAAUGUAGCACCCUUCGGGGUGUGUUAUAGCCCGGCGCGGAAUGCAGCCAGCCUGGACUGAGGAUCUCGCUUCGGCAAGGAUGCUGGCGUAAUGGUUGUAAGCGGCCCGUCU